CAAAGAAGAGCCUAUCAAAUUAGCCAAGGUGACUGCCUGAUAACUCUACAUUAGGGUUAAGAUUUAAGUGCAUAUACCCAAAAUGGCUAGAAGCAGGCAAGUCAUCCUUGGCUAUCUAAUAAGAAUCUUCUAU
rfam:Jatropha curcas cultivar GZQX0401 scaffold266_67, whole genome shotgun sequence.